rnacentral:rRNA from 1 species
GCUAUGCCCGAUCUCGUCUGAUCUCCGAAGCUAAGCAGGUUUGGGCCUGGUUAGUACUUGGAUGGGAGACCGCCUGGGAAUACCAGGUGCUGUAAGCUC